UCCUCCAAAACCAACGUGGAAUGUCAAGUAAAGGGUCGAUGAUUUUUUUAAACUUUCUUUUCACUAUUGAUUCCAUCAAAAAUGUUAUUGGUUUUAUUGUUUGUGUGGGUAUAAUCAGUUUCAUAUGUGCGAUAUGUAACGUGUUUAGAUAUCUGGUGGACUAUAGUUGCACUAAUGAUUCCGCAAAUAUUAUUGCUUUUGUUUGCGUUGGUUUGGGUAUCUUUUAUCAUAUUAAAAUAU
rnacentral:lncRNA from 1 species